rnacentral:rRNA from 1 species
UAGUAGCGGCGAGCGAAGCGGGAAGAGCUCAAAUUUAUAAUCUGGCACCUUCGGUGUCCGAGUUGUAAUCUCUAGAAAUGUUUUCCGCGUUGGACCGCACACAAGUCUGUUGGAAUACACCGGCAUAGUGGUGAGACCCCCGUAUAUGGUGCGGACGCCCAGCGCUUUGUGAUACAUUUUCGAAGAGUCGAGUUGUUUGGGAAUGCAGCUCAAAUUGGGUGGUAAAUUCCAUCUAAAGCUAAAUAUUGGCGAGAGACCGAUAGCGAACAAGUACCGUGAGGGAAAGAUGAAAAGCACUUUGGAAAGAGAGUUAACAGUACGUGAAAUUGUUGGAAGGGAAACGCUUGAAGUCAGACUUGCUUGCCGAGCAAUCGGUUUGCAGGCCAGCAUCAGUUUUCCGGGAUGGAUAAUGGUAGAGAGAAGGUAGCAGUUUCGGCUGUGUUAUAGCUCUCUGCUGGAUACAUCUUGGGGGACUGAGGAACGCAGUGUGCCUUUGGCGGGGGUUUCGACCUCUUCACACUUAGGAUGCUGGUGGAAUCGCAUGAAACUACACUG